CACCUCAACUGGUGGUUACAGCUCUCACUUAGUCAUGUUCUGGGCUCUCAUCUAGUAGAGCGUGAGACUUGGACGUAGGCAGUGCUGGGGCCUUCCUGCUUGGCAGGCGGAGUGUGGUUUUGCUGUGGCUUGUUAACACUUGAGCUGGUUUUGGAGUGGCUAGUGGAGGCACUACGCCCACUAGGAAUACGGUCUUGGAGCCGACGGAUAUGAGUGCCACCGUAGCGUGCUGGGAUGUUGUAGAUGGAGACCAGUGCAAAGCUUUGAGGUGUGCUGGUCCUGCUCUGGGUAGGGCCAUGGAGGUUAAAGAAAAUGCUCUGGUUAGGUCCUCUGGCAUAGCUAGGGAUUGACUUCACAGCAUUGGGAGUAUAGCUUUGCCUGGGGGCAGCUUUAGAGCUGCUUGGUUUCUGGACAUGGGUUGAAGAACUGCCAGCCUGGGCAGAACUGUAGAGGAUGGUGAUUGGCCCACUACUGGCAACAUAGCUAGGCUGGUAGUACCCCAUCUGACCAGAGACUUGCCUGUGGUUGCUUUUGGCAGGUGUAGUGCUGCUUGGUUUCUGGUUGGUGGCAAGGACAUUCUGGCUGUAGAGUGAACCACUGCCACCCUGGUUAGAGGUAAACAGGCUCUGGCGUGGUGUUGCACCAAGGAUAGAGCCAGGCUUGUAGGUUCCAUAGGAGUUUCUACUAGGCGUAAAGACACUGGAGAUAGACGCCAGGCUAGAUGUAGGGAUACUGCUGCUUCUGGACGCUCCAUCUAUUCUCUGGGCAUAUUGACUAGAAGUUGAACCACUACUGGCAGAAGCAUAGCUGCUCUGGUAUGGCUUGACAUAUUGAGAAAAGAUGGGCUUGUACACAUUUGUUGCACUCCCACCUUCAGUAGACCCAAAAUGCAGAGGACCUGGUCUAAAUGAAGUCCCUGAAGAACCACGUGAGGGAGCUUGAAGGUAAGGGGUGGAAGCCAUUUCCCUUACGGACUGGUCAAUUCCACUUUGUGCCACAGAAUUCUGGGGGGUUGACUUGAAUAAAUGGCUUCCCAGGAAUUUCUGAACAGAUCCAGAGUUGCUUGAACGAGGCUGUAACGAAAAGGUUUUGGGCUGGAUUCCCUUUGCGUCCCAACUUGAAACCAUCCUCACUGCACUAGGGUUGGUGACACCUUGGCCUGAGGUUAUACUGGCAAGGGUGUGACGCUUGUUGUGGCUGACAGAGGUUCUACUGGCUAUAGAGCCAGAGAGGCCUAACAUUCUUGGGGCAGGCUGGAUCGAGCUUGAAGCAUAGCCUCUGGGGGAUAGUUCCUGGUUAUGGGUGUUGGGUCCAGUCUCUCUGGGAGUAGCGUCACUCUGGACAGAACCUGAAGUACUAAAAGCUGUUUUGAUUUGAUCCUGAGAAUAGCCAUCACUUGGUUGUUUCUGUUCAUCUUCCACUUGGGAAGAGCCAGAAUACAUGUAGCCUCUUAACCUCUGGGCAUCUAAACAGAUAAGGGAAAGUAUGAGUCAAGUCAAUUUUAAGGCUGGUCUUCAACAACAAAAAUUACAAUGUAUUGUUCAUGCCUUACCAUGUGGAGCACAAGCAGAUCUUAAAGGUUCAGAGAAUAUGGAACAAAGCAACACAAUCCUGUUAAGAAAAGAACAAUUCAGUGCCUGUGCAACACAAGGGAAAUUUAACAACAUCAAAGUCCAGCAGGACCCAUG
rnacentral:lncRNA from 1 species